AGUGAACGCUGGCGGCGUGCCUAAUACAGAAUGAAGGAUUAAGUGGCGCACGGGUGAGUAACGCGUAAAGAACUUACCUCACAGUUAGGGACAACAUUUGGAAACGAAUGCUAAUACCUAAUACUGUGCGAGAGCUUUGCGUCCCAUUAGCUAGUUGGAGAGGUAACGGCUCACCAAGGCGAUGAUGGGUAGCCGGCCUGAGAGGGUGAUCGGCCACAAGGGGACUGAGACACGGCCCUUACUCCUACGGGAGGAAGCAGUGGGGAAUAUUGGACAAUGGACCAAAGUCUGAUCCAGCAAUUCUGUGUGCACGAUGAAGUUUUCGGAAUGUAAAGUGCUUUCAGUUGGGAAGCGGUACCAACAGAAGAAGUGACGGCUAAAUACGUGCCAGCAGCCGCGGUAAUUC
rnacentral:rRNA from 1 species